ensembl:snRNA U6 U6 spliceosomal RNA
UUAUGCUCACUUUGGCAGCUAUACAUACACUAAAAUUGGAAUGAUGCAGAGAAGAUUAGCAUGGCCCUUGCACAAAGAUAACACAUAAAUUCAUUCAAUAUUUUU